CCCAGUGUGGCAUAGUGGUUUGAGUUUUGGACUACACUCUAGAGAGCAGGGUUCGAUUCCCUGCUCAGCCA